CGGAAACCAGUCGUUUAGGUAUAAAUUCAUUUCCGCUUAUUGUUAAGGUCCUUUCCUGUCAACGGCCUUUCCGAAGAUGGCGGUGCAAAUCUCCAAGAAGAGGAAGUUCGUGGCAGACGGUAUCUUCAAGGCAGAGCUGAACGAGUUCCUGACUCGUGAGCUUGCUGAGGAUGGCUACUCUGGUGUGGAGGUGCGUGUGAC